rnacentral:rRNA from 1 species
CCUACGGGAGGCAGCAGUGAGGAAUAUUGGUCAAUGGCCGGAAGGCUGAACCAGCCAUGCCGCGUGAAGGUCAGUGCCCUAUGGGCGUUAAACUUCUUUUGUGCGGGAGCAAUAAUGGUCACGUGUGGCUAGACGAGAGUCCCCUACGAACAAGCAUCCGCUAACUCCGUUCCAGAAGCCGCGGUAAUACGGGGGAUGCAAGCGUUAUCCGGAUUUAUUGGGUGUAAAGGGUGCGUAGGCUGUGAGGUAAGUCAGCGGUGAAAUGCCCCCGCUCAACGGGGUGAAGUGCCAUUGAUACUGCCUUGCUGGAAUGCGGAUGCCGUGGGAGGAAUGUGUGGUGUAGCGGUGAAAUGCAUAGAUAUCACACAGAACACCGAGUGCGAAGGCAUCUCACGAAUCCGCGAUUGACGCUGAUGCACGAAAGCGUGGGUAUCAAACAGGAUUAGAUACCCCGGUAGUC